rnacentral:rRNA from 1 species
AACGAACGCUGGCGGCAUGCCUAACACAUGCAAGUCGAACGAGACUUUCGGGUCUAGUGGCGCACGGGUGCGUAACGCGUGGGAAUCUGCCCUUGGGUUCGGGAUAACAGUUGGAAACGACUGCUAAUACCGGAUGAUGUCUUCGGACCAAAGAUUUAUCGCCCAGGGAUGAGCCCGCGUCGGAUUGGCUAGUUGGUGAGGUAAAGGCUCACCAAGGCGACGAUCCGUAGCUGGUCUGAGAGGAUGAUCAGCCACACUGGGACUGAGACACGGCCCAGACUCCUACGGGAGGCAGCAGUGGGGAAUAUUGGACAAUGGGCGAAAGCCUGAUCCAGCAAUGCCGCGUGAGUGAUGAAGGCCUUAGGGUUGUAAAGCUCUUUUACCCGGGAUGAUAAUGACAGUACCGGGAGAAUAAGCCCCGGCUAACUCCGUGCCAGCCGCCGCAGUAAUAC